rnacentral:rRNA from 1 species
AGCUCCAAUAGCGUAUAUUAAAGUUGUUGCAGUUAAAAAGCUCGUAGUUGGAUUUUGGGGAAUUCUCGGAGAGAUCGGUCUGCCGAACAGGUGUGUACUGUCUUUCCUUCCCUUCUUGUGGGUUUGGUUCAAUCUGUCCUUAACUGGAUGGAUUGUUUUACCUCCCGCUCGUUUACUUUGAAAAAAUUAGAGUGUUUAAAGCAGGCGUUUUCCGCCCUGAAUACAUUAGCAUGGGAUAAUAGAAUAGGACUGUCUGUCUAUUUUGUUGGUUUCUAGAUGGAUAGUAAUGAUUAAUAGAGAUGGUUGGGGACAUUUAUAUUCCAUGGUCAGAGGUGAAAUUCUUGGAUUCAUGGAAGAUAAACAAGUGCGAAAGCAUUUGUCAAGGAUGUUUUCA